UGCACUGUAUGGCAUGUGUGCCCAGCAGUGUUUUCCUGAUGAUGUGUUCAAAAAGCAGCACUGCAGUGUUUCAGCUGCUGGCAUCGUGGUUUUAAUGUGGACAUGCUGAUUGAACUUGGUGUUUCUGUUGAAACGAGUA
rnacentral:snoRNA from 1 species